rfam:Biomphalaria glabrata isolate BB02 linkage group LG24 unlocalized genomic scaffold LG24_random_Scaffold540, whole genome shotgun sequence.
UUUUUUUCGGAAUCAGUGUAUUCCAAAACGU